rnacentral:sRNA from 1 species
AUGCCGUGUGAACUUCUAGGUCCUGGUCCCGUUCCUCCUUUCUGCCCCACCUAUUUAUCACCAACAUAAAUCAUACGAUGAUAAUGCAUGUGUUUCUUUAAUUUCCUUUGAUAAUUAUGUAACACUAGAUUUUAAUCCGCGGUACACCGCGGAGACAAUUCAUUUUUUAAAAUUAAUAUAUAUAAAAAUCUGUAAAUUAUUUUAUAGUUUACCAUUGUUACUAAGUAACGUUCUGUCAAACCCGUCCUGCCAAACCCGUCCAAAAAAAAAAA